rnacentral:lncRNA from 1 species
AUGAUUUUGCACCACUCGCAAAGAAAGCAUUGUACCCGGCAGUUGUACUCCCUCCGCAAACCUAGUCCUUCUGUCCACACCCCCAGCCCCCGUGCUCCUGCUGCUCCUGUGGCUGCCCUGGUUUUGCUCAUGGAGAGCAAAGCCUUGGAGCACCAGAUGAGGAGUAGACGGCUCUUGCCUCUGCUCCUCUGGCCCUCGGCUGCCACUCCAGCCGUGAGGAGGGAUGCCCCUGCAGUCCCAGGCACUGCCACCUGCUGCUUUGAUUUUUCAGGGAUAGUGGACACCAUGUCUCCAUCUCUGCCUUUGAUCAGAAAGCUCAGAAGAGGAGUUCCCAUGUGGCUCAGCGGUCACCGGGGCUCCGUUUAUUAAACUGUUGCUCCAGGGCAC